rnacentral:rRNA from 1 species
UACGUAGGGUGCAAGCGUUGUCCGGAAUUAUUGGGCGUAAAGAGCUCGUAGGCGGCUGGUCACGUCGACUGUGAAAACCCGCGGCUCAACCGUGUGGUCUGCAGUCGAUACGGGCUGGCUGGAGUUCGGUAGGGGAGACUGGAAUUCCUGGUGUAGCGGUGAAAUGCGCAGAUAUCAGGAGGAACACCGGUGGCGAAGGCGGGUCUCUGGGCCGAUACUGACGCUGAGGAGCGAAAGCCAGGGGAGCAAACGGG